AUGAACAUCUUCAAGAAGAAGGUCGACCCCAAAGAGGCUCUCAGGACAAGCAAGCGCGAGAUGUCAGUCGCCACAAGAGGAGUUGAGCGAGAGAUUGGCUCCCUGCAAAUGGAGGAGAAGAAGCUGGUUGCUGAGAUCAAGAACACUGCCAAGACUGGAAAUGAGGCUGCAACCAAAAUUCUAGCCCGGCAACUAGUCAGGCUUAGGCAACAAAUCGUCAAUUUACAAGGUACACGGGCGCAGAUACGUGGAGUAGCUACUCACACACAGGCAAUGUAUGCUGGAACUUCAAUAUCUGCUGGAAUGAAAGGCGCAAGCAAAGCGAUGGCAGCAAUGAAUAAGCAAUUGGAACCAACGAAGCAGAUGAAGCAGAUGAGAGAAUUCCAGAAGCAAUCAUCUCAAUUGGACAUGACGCUUGAGAUGAUGUCUGAUGCCAUUGAUGAAACACUAGAUAAGGAUGAAGCUGAAGAGGAAACAGAAGAGCUCACGAACCAGGUUCUGGAUGAGAUUGGUGUUGAUGUGGCUUCGCAGCUGUCUUCUGCACCUAAAGGCCGUAUUGGAGCCAGUAACAAGAAAGCCGAGAACAACCAAGCACGGAAUGCGGCUCCAGCGAAAAAUGUGGCGCCUGAACCUAAUGCCGCUGAAGUUGAUGAUCUGGAGAGGAGACUGGCAUCUCUCCGCCGCAUCUGA
rnacentral:rRNA from 1 species